UUCUCCUUUCCACUACGGACCCCAGACACAGCUCUGGUCGUCACAGGGGAAAGCGAGCUCUGCCUCAUGUCAAGAUUCUUCAUCCCAUGUGAUCAAGGCUGGGUCCCUCCUCGCUGCAACUGUCCAGCGUGGAUGUGCUGUGCAGCCAACUCCUAGUUCCUGAGGUCUCCAGCUAAACUCCUGAAGACAUGACUCCACCCCAUUUCCAAUCUCACCCUGACUCUCAGGCUUCAGGACAAAGAAUGAUCCUUGCUGCACUAGAGUAGUCAGGCUUCAGGAAGUCACAGAAUGGAUGAUGCCACUGAGAUGAUGCUGUGCUCCUUGCAUGCUCUGGAAAAAAUCCAGCAGAGACGUCGUCAUUGGGACAACCCGGAGACCUGAAGAAUAAAUAAUAAAAGUAGUCCUGAAGUUGU